GAGUAAGGGCAGGAAUUAAUUAGCGCCGAGCCAUUUGUACGCUGCUGAGCUGCAGUGGAGAUGAAGAGAAAAGCCAAAUAUUGUUUUUAUUAGCAGCGAUGUUGGUGGUGCACAGCCUGCUCCCUUCUUUCGCUUAGCAAGAUUAAUCCUGCGAAUAUGAACGUUUACUCGCCUCCAUCUCCCAAUCCAUUGCAGCUGUUCUCUCUUCACGUGGACCAGCUGAAGCGCCGGAAUAACUUUACUUUGACGCGUUCGAGUUGAGGGAUUUGACGCUUCUUUGGACUCGGUUUCAGCAACGACGACUCCCGCUGGUUCUGUCGCUGCUGGACCAGAACCUGGGUUCCUUCGCACGCAGCGGGUCCAGGUUGUGUAGGUGCUUCGCGUUACACCUGCUUCCUGGGAGCAUCCACGAUCCAUAAUGCUUUCCUUAAAUCCAGCAACAGCCCUGCCACAUCUUCACCUCGGUGCCAUCUGGCAGGAACCAUUGGACACUUCGCGCUGAUGAAGUGGCGGGUAAAAAAACACGCCGAGACAUAAA